rnacentral:lncRNA from 1 species
CACCGCUCCGCCAGGUCCCCGUCCCCUCCAGACCGGCUCCUGCUCUUGUGCUCCCGGUCACAGCGAGGAUGAGGAGGAGGAGAUGCGACCUGCGGCGAUAAACUUCUCGUCCCUCACUACUUUUUUUCCUCUCCGCUUUGGUUCAAAACCGGCCUUUUCCCGCACCUUUGCUCAGCUGUUGAGCUCAGGCACCAGCGACAACGCCACCGACUCCUCGCUUUUUUACCCCUACAUCGUGCGGAAAAGAAAAUAAUAACCACCUAGACGGGAACUAUCAUUUGUCUCGGGUAUAUCACAUGCAUACAGUCACCUUUAGGACAAAACAUUUACACAAAGCGUCUGUGUCGCCAGGACAGCGCUCCGGCGUGGAAAAGCCCACGUUGCCAGUCGGACCUCUGCGUGAUUGUCCUUCCCAUUACCGCGCAUCGUUCAAAAGCACCAGGCGGCUUGCAGCGGCAGCGAGCUCUACAAAUUCGUUUUCGCGAUGGGUAAAGCGUGAUGGAGCGGGCAAAAGCGUCCAGACAGCGCGCUCAAGUUCAUCGCCAGUGCCUGCCUGCGUGCGCCUCGGGUUGACAGAAACACCCCGCGCGGGCUCGUGUUGGGACUUCAAGCUCUUACCGCGUCUCUUGCCGUUUGUUCGCUGUUUUUUUUUUUUUUUUUUUUUUUUUUUUUUUUUUCCUUCUGUGUUUUGUUUAUUUAAUUAUUUAUUUUUCUUUUCCCCAGCUCCAAGCCAUUGGGCUCGGGGUCACGCCCGGCCGGGGGCAGGGGCAGGAGGCGGUGGAAAGGGGCUGGGCGCCCGCCCCCGGUACCCACCACGGGCAGACCCCCCCCCCCCCACCACCCCCUCGGCGGCGGGGUCCCGCGGGCAGCACGGCCCGGCACGGCCCGGCACGGCUCAGCAGCACGCCGGGGAAGGAGGAGGGCUGCGAGGGGAAGGUAAACGAGCGGAGGGACGGCACUGAGCCGAGCGGCGAGCGGGCGGCGGAGGAGGCAGGGACGCGCCGCCUCGGGGCCGUGCCGAGCCGUGCCGGGCCAGGAGCUGCUCAUCCCGGCCCCAUUGCCCUGGAGAGGAGAGGAAGGGCCGCUCCGCACCCGCUGCCCCCGAUCCGGAUCUGGCCACCGCUGACCUCCGGCCCCGCUCCCCCGGCAGGCGGGUCUGUGCGCCUCGCUGCUGCCUCUCACGAGUUUGUCUGCGCUCUAUUUCCUACUUUUUUUUUUUUUUUUCCCCCCGUGGAUGUGCCUUCUGUCUGUAAAGAUGCAGGAAAAAAAUAGAUGGAAAGAAAGAAAGAAAGGAGUUUUUAACUACUGCCUCCCCCUUUCCCUUUCUCCCAGGCUUUUCCAUUAUUUAGAGGAUGAGCGCUGAAACAAAUCACAUUGACCGUUUAGAAAGCGAUCAAACCUUUAUAAAAAUCCAUCGCCUGCGAAUCGAUUGGUGAAUAUUUGCUAGGAAUUUGUUCAAAAGAAAUAAAUAAGGAGGGCAAGUGUAUUAAAUGCA